rnacentral:tRNA from 1 species
AUUUAAAUAGUUUAAGAUAAAAUAUUGAUUUGUGAGGUCAAAGAUAUUAAAAAUAAUUUUAAGUA